rnacentral:lncRNA from 10 species
UCGGCCUCGGGGCUCUGCUCUCCUACCUCAGUCUGCCCUACCCUGGAAUGGGGAAAAUGCGGACAUGCCACUCAGUCCGGCCGCGAACAGUGCUCCAGAACUCAGAGAGUUUUCCAGACGGGUGGAGAUCGCGUUCCCUGCCCGCCGAGGUCCCAUCGCUUCCCUGCUGGGAAGACAAAUGAGGCGCUUUAGCCGUCUCCACGGCCAGCCCCUCCCUCAUAACCCGAGAUUCUUUGUGGGCUCUUAGUCCAUAGCUGCCUUUGAGGUGGUGUAGACCUUGCUAACCAGGACGGCCCAGUAGGCAGAGCUCAUUUUUAUUCCUGUCUGCAAUCGUGCAAAAACGCCUCUUAUGGAAAAGCCAGAGCGCCAGGAGUCAGCAAAACACACUAAAGAUUGGGCAGUCACUGGGGAGAACACUCAGCCCGCCUGCACCCAGGUGAAAUAUACAGCCUUGUUGCUCACACAAAGCCUGUUUGGUGGUUUCUUCACACGGAUGCAUGUGACAUUUGGUGCUGAAGACCCAGGACAGGAGGACUCCUUUGGGAGACCAGUGCCCUGUUGUCGCCCUCACUCCGUGAGGAGAUCCACCUAUGAUCUCAGGUCCUCAGACCAACCAGCCCAAGGAACAUCUUGCCAAUUUCAAAUCGGCUCUCCCCGAUCUGCCCAACAAUUUCCUGUUAAAGAGAUGGCUGACUAUCCUGACUUCAUCAGAGCAGGCUGGUGCCUGGCCUUCCUGGAAUGAGUGGGUGUUCUGACAGGCCCCCAGUUUGUCCCAUCUGCACCGCCAAGAGGUCUCCGGGUGGCCAGAGGAGCAAAGUUGCCUUCCAAGUGCCUGUUGGUGCCUGGGAGAACACAGCAGGAGUGUCGUGCGGCCCACAGCGCAGUGCAUGGUGAUUCCAGGCGCUGAACAACUCCCCUUGACCCUUGGGCCUGCAUCUGACUCCCGGCUGCAGAAUCAGAAGCUGAGUCCAGGCAACCGCUCGGCCACUCCCGGUCACUCCUCUCUGGACACCCAGUUACUAAAGUCAGCAAAGAAGAUGCGGUAAUCACCGCCUGAUCUCCACAUGGUGAACACAACACUCUCACUAACACCUCCUUGACCAGUCAGUCUUCAGCACUGGGGGUGGACAGGCAGGUUUUCUGUGUUUACCAGAAUCGCACAGGCUAAGCACAAACAUGGAACCAGAGUUCCAGGUGAGGAAACCUCACUCGCAGAAGCCCAGGCUGCACCCCACCAGGUGAUGCAGUGCGCCUAGGCUGUGGGUGCUAGGAGCCAAGUGCUAGGGACUCGUCAUGAGUGGGAAUCCCCACGUUCCUGUCACUGCUGUCAAACAGAAGGUAAACAGUCUUACGAAUGUAAUUCCUUAGGAAGACUUGUACAAACUUUUAUUAGGAUAUCUAUUUAUUUAAUACUGAACUUUGGCCUACUUUGUGAUAAGACUAUAAACAAAUUGAGGAAAUCACUAUUUCUCACUUCUGUAUUUCUCAAAAAAUAAUUUUGUUACAGAGUUCAAUAUACUGUGUACUACUGAUCUUCUAUUGUGAAAGCAA